rnacentral:misc_RNA from 1 species
UUUCCGUAGGUGAACCUGCGGAAGGAUCAUUAAUGUGAAAAAGCAGAGCAGUGGCGCAAGCCACUGGUCUGUGUAGGCCUGUGUUUUGUUAUUGAGUUUGGCGGGGUCAUGUUGCGCUCUGCAGCGCGCCUGCCCGCCAAAGUUUUAACCCAAACUUAACAAUGUAACGAGAGUUUAUAAACAACAAUUACAACUGUUGGCAACGGAUCACUCGGCUCUC